AGAGUUUGAUCCUGGCUCAGAUUGAACGCUGGCGGCAGGCUUAACACAUGCAAGUCGAGCGGGGAAAAGUAGCUUGCUACUUAACUUAGCGGCGGACGGGUGAGUAAUACUUAGGAAUCUGCCUAUUAGUGGGGGACAACAUUUCGAAAGGAAUGCUAAUACCGCAUACGUCCUACGGGAGAAAGCAGGGGAUCACUUGUGACCUUGCGCUAAUAGAUGAGCCUAAGUCGGAUUAGCUAGUUGGUGGGGUAAAGGCCUACCAAGGCGACGAUCUGUAGCGGGUCUGAGAGGAUGAUCCGCCACACUGGGACUGAGACACGGCCCAGACUCCUACGGGAGGCAGCAGUGGGGAAUAUUGGACAAUGGGGGGAACCCUGAUCCAGCCAUGCCGCGUGUGUGAAGAAGGCCUUUUGGUUGUAAAGCACUUUAAGCGAGGAGGAGGCUACUCUAGUUAAUACCUAGGGAUAGUGGACGUUACUCGCAGAAUAAGCACCGGCUAACUCUGUGCCAGCAGCCGCGGUAAUACAGAGGGUGCGAGCGUUAAUCGGAUUUACUGGGCGUAAAGCGUGCGUAGGUGGCCAAUUAAGUCAAAUGUGAAAUCCCCGAGCUUAACUUGGGAAUUGCAUUCGAUACUGGUUGGCUAGAGUAUGGGAGAGGAUGGUAGAAUUCCAGGUGUAGCGGUGAAAUGCGUAGAGAUCUGGAGGAAUACCGAUGGCGAAGGCAGCCAUC
rnacentral:rRNA from 1 species